AUCCUGGCUCAGGAUGAACGCUAGCUACAGGCUUAACACAUGCAAGUCGAGGGGCAGCAUGUUGGUUGCUUGCAACCAAUGAUGGCGACCGGCGCACGGGUGAGUAACGCGUAUCCAACCUUCCCCUUAGUAGAGGAUAGCCCGGCGAAAGUCGGAUUAAUACUCUAUGUUCUUCAAUGCGGACAUCUGAGUUGAAGCAAAGAUUUAUCGCUAAGGGAUGGGGAUGCGUCUGAUUAGGUUGCAGGCGGGGUAACGGCCCACCUGGCCUACGAUCAGUAGGGGUUCUGAGAGGAAGGUCCCCCACACUGGUACUGAGACACGGACCAGACUCCUACGGGAGGCGGCAGUGAGGAAUAUUGGUCAAUGGGCGCGAGCCUGAACCAGCCAAGUAGCGUGCAAGGACGACUGCCCUAUGGGUUGUAAACUGCUUUUAUCAGGGAAUAAAGUGAGGCACGCGUGCCUUUUUGUAUGUACCUGAUGAAUAAGGACCGGCUAAUUCCGUGCCAGCCGCGGC
rnacentral:rRNA from 1 species